CCCUGGGUCUGGCCGGGUCCCGCGGGGCCGGCGCUGCCCGGGCGGGCCGCAGGAGCGGCGCUAGCCGUGGUGCUGAACGCCAGGGCUGCUGCGGCCCGCCCGCCCCAGCGCUCGUCUGGACUCGCUACCAGCGCCGGCGUCCUUUGGGCUCGCUAUCAGAACUGACCUCCCCAGGGAACAAGGAGACAAAACGAUGUCUGUAGUCUCCCAAAGGGCCCUGGUAGAUCUGUGAGUAUUUUCUUUAGCUCACUGAAAACUGGCAGUGCAAGCCCAAGGCCCUAGGCGAUGACCCAACCGUCCCAAAGUUCCCGCAAGACCUUUGACAGAGGAAGGGACACGAUUUCUUUUGUUAAUCAGAGGAAAAAAGAUGAGAAGGAACAGAUGCGAUGCCACAGGCAACCCAUCUGGUUCCAGUUUUCUGUGUUCGAGACCCAAACCAGAUGACAAACCUCCACAGCUUGCUAGAAGAAACCUGGGGCAGCACUGAAGAAGGAUGUAGAGUGGGACUGGCUGCAGUUUGCCCUGUGAUUACAUUGAAGAUAUUCAGAAAAGAGAUACAUACUAACUAAGCAGUGCUUUCCCUACCUUGUUAAAAUUAAGAGUGUUUUCCUUUUAAAAAGAUAGCCUGAUUGACUA